UCAAAAUCUGCAAAAUCAAAUGGCACAGAACUAUCAUGAAGCUGCAUUGAUGGAUGGGUUCUGUUAAUUGCAGAAUGGUCAUCUUGUUUUUCUGCGCUUAACUUCUGAUUGGCACUUGAGAAUAUGGACACAAUUCAAACUUGGGUGCUUGUGGUCAUAUCACAUGUGCUGUAGGUUACGCAUUAAUGAUUGAUUUAAUGGGAAACAGAUGAAUGCUAGUGUCUUGCAUAUGACAUGGUGGACUAGAUGGCACUAACCAUAGAACCAUUUAUGCUUAAUUCACAUUCAAGAAUUCAGCUAUUACCAUCUAUGUUCACAUAUAUGAUUUAUAUUUGUAGUAUCAAUCUCUAGGCUGGAAUUCUCACCUGAGAUUGGAUGGAUCUACAUUUGGUUUUGUGCCCUCAGUGGCUAAGCUUGGGGCCCUCCAUUUACAUGAUAAGCAUGGCCUCCACAUUCUCUAGUGCAGAUUUCGCUGUUGUGCAUACCUCGCAUGGUCCGAUUAGCCAUAUAAAAAAGAAGGUGGUGAAGGCUGCAAAAAAUUCUCUUGCAAAUUUAGAUUGGGGCAGCACUGUCUUUAUCUGCCAUCAACAACACUGGUUUGCUAUGUUACCAAUUCAAAUACUGGAAUUUCAUAUAUGGUUGUGAAAUGAACUUCAGAAGCACUGCGUCUAAAUGAAACGAUUAUAUCUAAGACAUGAAUGGCCCUUGAUAAUUUAAUAUAUAUAUAUUCUUAAAUAGCAAUUGAGUCGUGCAGCUACUUCAGAUUGUAAUAGUUAUUUGUACGGUUAAGCAAAAAUGGACGAUGAAUGAUAUGCGGAUGUGGAUUAUGAUAA